rnacentral:sRNA from 1 species
CCCAGGGCAUCGCUUCGCUCAGCCCUGGGCUAUGUUCUCCCGGCCCUUUGGGCCG